AGUUUGAUCAUGGCUCAGAUUGAACGCUGGCGGCAUUGCCUUACAACAUGCAAGUCGAACGGCAGCACGGGAGGCUUGUCUCCUGGUGGCGAGUGGCGAACGGGUGAGUAAUACAUCGGAACGUACCCUGAAGUGGGGGAUAACGUAGCGAAAGUUACGCUAAUACCGCAUAUUCUGUGAGCAGGAAAGAGGGGGAUCGCAAGACCUCUUGCUUUAGGAGCGGCCGAUGUCGGAUUAGCUAGUUGGUGAGGUAAAGGCUCACCAAGGCGACGAUCCGUAGCGGGUCUGAGAGGAUGAUCCGCCACACUGGGACUGAGACACGGCCCAGACUCCUACGGGAGGCAGCAGUGGGGAAUUUUGGACAAUGGGCGCAAGCCUGAUCCAGCCAUGCCGCGUGAGUGAAGAAGGCCUUCGGGUUGUAAAGCUCUUUCGGUGGGGAAGAAAUUGCUUCGGUUAAUACCUGGAGUAGAUGACGGUACCCGCAUAAGAAGCACCGGCUAACUACGUG
rnacentral:rRNA from 1 species